AUGGCUGCUCCCGCGAAGGCAUCGUGGAUGAUGGCGAUGAGCGUGGGCGCCGUGGAGGAGCUCAAGGACCAGGCCGGGCUCUGCCGCUAGAACUACGCACUCAGCUCCAUCCAUCGGGCCGCCAAGGCCAAGGCCAACGUCCGCGUCGGCGUCUCGCAAGGCAAGAAGCAGCUCCCCACCUCCGCGGCGGCGGCGGCGGAGAGGCGACGGGCAGAGAAGGCCGAGGAGGGGCUGAGGACCGUCAUGUACCUCAGUUGCUGGGGCCCAAACUAG
rnacentral:rRNA from 1 species